GAGCGGUAGAGAGGUGCUUGCACCUCUUGAGAGCGGCGGACGGGUGAGUAAUGCCUAGGAAUCUGCCUGGUAGUGGGGGAUAACGCUCGGAAACGGACGCUAAUACCGCAUACGUCCUACGGGAGAAAGCAGGGGACCUUCGGGCCUUGCGCUAUCAGAUGAGCCUAGGUCGGAUUAGCUAGUUGGUGGGGUAAUGGCUCACCAAGGCGACGAUCCGUAACUGGUCUGAGAGGAUGAUCAGUCACACUGGAACUGAGACACGGUCCAGACUCCUACGGGAGGCAGCAGUGAGGAAUAUUGCGCAAUGGGCGAAAGCCUGACGCAGCGACGCCGCGUGGAGGAUGACGGUCUUAGGAUUGUAAACUCCUGUUAAGCGGGAAGAAAGGUGCCUGUCUAAUAAAUAGGGAAGAUGAC
rnacentral:rRNA from 1 species